rnacentral:rRNA from 1 species
GAUGAACGCUGGCGGCGUGCCUAACACAUGCGAGUCGAACGAAGCACCUUACCUGAUUCUUCGGAUGAAAGUUUGGUGACUGAGUGGCGGACGGGUGAGUAACGCGUGGGUAACCUGCCCUGUACAGGGGGAUAACAGCUGGAAACGGCUGCUAAUACCGCAUAAGCGCACGAGGAGACAUCUCCUUGUGUGAAAAACUCCGGUGGUACAGGAUGGGCCCGCGUCUGAUUAGCUGGUUGGCAGGGUAACGGCCUACCAAGGCAACGAUCAGUAGCCGGUCUGAGAGGAUGAACGGCCACAUUGGAACUGAGACACGGUCCAAACUCCUACGGGAGGCAGCAGUGGGGAAUAUUGCACAAUGGGGGAAACCCUGAUGCAGCAACGCCGCGUGAGUGAAGAAGUAUUUCGGUAUGUAAAGCUCUAUCAGCAGGGAAGAUAAUGACGGUACCUGACGAAGAAGCGCCGGCUAAAUACGUG